UCGAGUAUAAAUAAAUAGAGUGUAGUUGUAAUCAGAUCAUUAUCAUCAAUAACAAUUUUUUUCUUCGUCUUCUUCCUCUGAUCAUGAUUCACAAACAUGGUAUUAGAGUUUUGAGGCUCAAACCUCAAAUAGAUUCUGCAAACUUCGUUUUCCGUCUUUCGUUUUGACCUAGGAUUGAUCGUUGGGUUCCCCGAUCGAUUCAAUUCUUCGAUUUGCGAUAUAUUCUUCUGGUUAUUCCGCCAAGAAUCACAAAUUUCGCAAUCUAUCUUCAUUUUGAGAUGAUAAAUAACAGAUCUACUUGUCGCGCAGGAAGAAUUGCAGCUGUAUUUCGCCGCACUUCAGUUCUGAGAGAUUCUCAACCAGCUUCACCGGAUUCAACAAAUUUCCUGAAUCCCCUAACGGAUACAAUCGACAGGAUCCACUCUCUGUUUCAUUUGACGAGGGGUGAUAAUCCAGGCCUAUUGAUUAUAUCUGAGGUACUCAAAGGUCUUAACUAUGAUAUAAUUGGCGUAUUGCAAUGAACAUAGCUUUGGAUGCGAAGAACAAAUUAGCUUUUAUUGAUGGAUCUAUAGCUAGGCCGAGUGAUUCACUAACAAGAUCAAUACGAUCUAUCUUUUUGAGUAAUUCGUCACUUGGGAGAUGCUCCUCUCCAUGCCUCCGACAUAGUUGUCUUGUUAUGAUAGAAAGUGUUGAUAGCCUCCAAUAGGUUGACGUUAAGACUGUCUCUAAUUUAGCUAUACAUGUGCUUGUUUGAAAGCAGCAACUUGAGGUUGCUUCUUGAUUGUGACGGACAAGAUCUAUAAGCACAUGCACCUCAGAUUCAUUCUUAUUGUUGUCAUCUUUGGCAGAUCUUGUGGGAGAUUGACAUUGUCAGGGCCAGAUUCAUUCUUAUUGUUGUUUUCGCCAACAGUUGAGGUUCAACUUCUCAUCUAAGACAGUUACUUGCGCAUCAAGAAACCGGUUGUUUGCUGUUUUGGCUUCGAAUCUGUGAUCCUGCUUGCGUCUGUUCGAGACCAGUUGAAGUUAAUCAUCAUGGGACGAUCCAGUUUCAGGGACUUUAAGAAUUUAAUAAAAAUAUUCAAUUUCGCAUAUAAAUAGGUUUCGGAGGCACAACCAAAAUCUUUGAAGCAGCCAAGAAAUAUCUCGAACUAGUUUAUCAAAGGUGGCUGCUGAAACAUAACAUCUAACAUGAAAAUUAACAUUAGAAACAUCUCAAAAUGAUACAAAGAAGGAUAGAGAUUCUUCGCCAACAGUUGAGGUUCAACUUCUCAUCUAAGACAGUUAUGUGUUGUAACUACGUUACUUGCGCGUUAAGAAACCGGUUGUUUGCUGUUUUGGCUUCGAAUCUGUGAUCCUGCUUGCGUCUGUUCGAUAUAGAAUUUAGAACUUAAAUCAAAAAAUAAUAAAGUAACUUCUUUAUUAGCUUUAGAAAAUAACUCAAAACUAAAGCUUCUUAAUCUCUCUCUAAACUCUUAAGGAUUACCACAACUUUGGUAUCUCUUAUAUAAAGGAGAUAAAACACAUCAUAAUCCUAAUGGAUAAACACUUUAACAUUCAUAGAUAACUCCUAAGAACUUUCUAGAUAACUCCUGGAUAGAAACUUUCCUUUUCCUAAACUCUUUAAGAAACUUGCUACUCAAGCUUUGAUCAAGCUUAUUCCAACAUUCUCCUCCUUAAGCUUGAACUCUAUCUUUGACAAAUCUUGAAUCCAAAUUAGCUCUCUCAUUUCUUUGAACUUAAUCCUUCCAAGCGCUUUGGUUAGGAUGUCCGCCCUUUGCUCUGUUCCCGGAACAUGUUCGACUUCGAUCAGCUCACUUUCAACACAUUCGUAUAAAAUGAUAUCGCCGGUGAAUGUGCUUAUUGCGACCAUGGAAAACUGGAUUUUUAGUGAGUGCUAUAGCAGAUUUGUUGUCAACCCGAAGAACCACUCUUUUACUUGUUGAACCAAAAAUCUCGCUAAACAAUUCCUGCAACCAGAUUGCUUAUUUCGCCGCUUCCGUAGCCGCCAUAAACUCUGAUUCACACGAUGACAAUGCAACAGUUUCCUGCUUCUGUGAUGCCCAAGUAAUCGGGCAUUCAUUAAGAUAAAAGAUGUGCCCUGUCGUGCUUCUACCAUCAGCUAAGUCUACACCGAGACUACUAUCGCUGUAUCCUAUCAGACCCGGUUUUGCCUUUCGUUUGAAUGACAGACCAUGAGCCAUUGUCCCCUUGAGAUAUCUCAAAACAUGUUUUAAAGCCGCCCCAUGAGACUCUUUUGGCUCUGUCAUAUAUCUGCUUAGUAUACCUACACUGUAGGAGAGGUCAGGCCUUGUUUGUAACAGAUAUCUGAGGCACCCAAUAUUCCUCCUGUAGUUCAAUUCAUCAACUUUCUUUUCCUCCUUAGCUUUUGACAAUCGAAGACCUGGAUCCAUAGGCACUUGUGCUGCAUUACAGUUAUUCAUCCCAGCUUCCUCAAGAAUUUUUCUUGCAUAUCUUUCUUGCUUUAACAUAAUGCCAUUCUCAUGUUGCAGAACUUCUAUUCCGAGAUAAUAUGUGAGCUUGCCAAGGUCACUCAUCUCAAACUUAGUCGCCAUUCCCCUUUUAAACUCGAGAAUUGUAUUCGGACUAGAGCAUGUAACCAAUAAGUCGUCGACAUAAACAGCAACCAGAAGAAGAUCCUCUUUGUCUCGUUUCCAGUAUAAAGAAGGUUCCUUUGAGCACUUUACAAAGCUUAGCUCUCUUAGUAUCUUGUUGAGUUUGUUGUUCCAUGCCCUUGGUGCUUGCAUUAGACCAUAGAGUGCUUUGUGUAGUUUAUACACCUUUCCCUCACUCCCUUCAAUCACAAAACCUUCUGGUUGGGUAACAUAUACUUCUUCCUCUAAUUCUCCAUGUAAAAACGCAGUUUUUACAUCAAGAUGAUGUAUUUUCCAACCAUUGGAUGCAGCUAAAGAGAUGAUGAACCGAACUGUUUCGAUACGCGCCACUGGAGCGAAUACUUCAUCGAAAUCUAUCCCAUGUCUUUGUACAUAGCCUUUUGCAACUAAUCUCGCUUUGUAUUUGUUGAUGCUCCCAUCGAAAUUACGUUUUGAUUUAAAAAAACCCACUUUAGUCCGAUUGGUUUAGCUCCUAUGGGUAGAUCGACUAAGCUCCAUGUUUUGUUCUUGACAAUUGAGGAGAUUUCUUCGUUGCAAGCUCUUCGCCAGGCUUCCGUUUUGUUUGCUUCUUCAAAACUCCAUGGUUCAUCGUUAAUGGCUAAAUGUAGAUAUUCUCCUUCAUAAUCCACUUCUGCCAGACAACCAAAAUCCUUCAAAUACCCUGGUUUUCUAACCUCUCGAGUAGACCUCCUCAGAGGAAGAGAAUCUGCUUCUGCUUGUUCAGGACUCGCAUUAUCGUGAACUGGGUGAGGCUCUGUCUCAAGAUAUGCCGGAUGUUUUUCUUCCCCAUCGGUUCCUUCUUCUGCUACAAUCUCGUCUUCUUCAACUCUGUUUACAUCAGUGGCUCUGUUCUCCUCUGUUCUCAUGUCAUCAUCGGUGUUGUUUAACCCAUGAUUUCUGAACUUUCCAAAACUAAAGGAGAACAUUCCUGGUUCCUGGUUAUUCUCUCCUGAAGCUUUCCACUUCCAGACUCUGUUUUCGUCGAAGAUGACGUCUCUGCUCACUAUAACUCUGCGAUUACUUGGAUCCAAAAUUCGAUAGCCUUUUGUUCCCGGUUCUGUUCCCAAGUGUACAAGAACUCGAGAUCUAUCGUCAAGUUUUCUUUGAUGUGGAGUUUCUACUUUCGCGUAUGCUACACAUCCAAAUAUGCGCACGUGCUUGACAUUAGGUUUCUUCCCUUUGUAAAGGCUUCGUAUGGAGUUUGUGAAUCCAAAGAUCGUGUUGCGAAUCUGUUGAUCAAGUAAGUAGCAUGUCUGACAGCUUCUCUCCAGAGGUAAUUCGGUACUCUCAUGUGUUUUAGAAUACUUCUGGUCAUCUCCAUGAGCGUUCUAUUUCUCCUCUCUACCACACCGUUUUGUUGGGGUGAAUAAGGAGCGGUUAAAUGCCAAUUGAUGCCUGAAGUUUCGCAAAAACUCUGGAAAUCCUGAGAUACGAACUCUCCUCCUCUAUCUGUACGAAACGUUUUGAUGUUUGCUCCUGUUUCUUGCUCAACAGUGGCUUUGAAUCCUUUAAAUCUUUCAAACGCAUCGCUUUUCUCCUUUAGCAGAAUAGUCCACAUAUAUCGCGAAUGGUCAUCGAUUAGCACAAAUAUGUACCGUUUCUGUGCUGCUGUGGAUGGUGUGAUGGGUCCGCAAAGAUCUCCAUGUAUCAGUUCUAAUACCUUUGUGGCUCGAUACGAGGUUGCUUGUGGGAAGCUUCUUCGUGUUUGUUUACCAAGCAGACAUGAGACACGAGUUUCUUUCUCUUUUGGAAUGCCUUCUAUACCAAUUACUAACUCCGUUCUCACCAUUGUCUUUAUAGUUUCUGGGUUGACAUGUCCUAGUCGGGAAUGCCAUUGAGAACUGCUUGUUGUUAUCAGCUGCAAACACCUAGUUGCUUCGACCUCUAAGUUGACUUUGUACAGCCUGUUCUUUGAUCGAUUUGCUUUAAUUAAUAGCUGACCGUCUUUGUCAAUCAAUGUAAGGAAGUCUUCCUUCGUUCUUACUUCACAGCCACACUCUGUAGCUUGACCGAAACUUAUAAUAUUACUCUUUAAAUCUGGUAUGAAGUAAACAUUAGUUAAGACCUUCCUUUUACCACUUUUGCUGAGAAAAACAAUCGAUCCUUUUCCUUUGAUAUCGAUGCGCGAGUCGUCUCCGAACCUUACUUUCCCUGUGACCGUCUCGUCAAUUUUGAGAAGCAGUUCCGAUUCCCCGUCAUGUGAUUACUCGCACCGUUGUCCAGAUACCACACCUUAUCUGAACAUACAUCGAGAUUUUCUGGUCUCACCUUUUUCUCGUUGAGAAAAACGAUUUCAUGCAUCAUGAGUUUCUCUACUUCAUGCGAGUCGUCUUCUUCAUUCUCUUCUGUUUCUUGUAAUUUUAACAACCUGUCAGGACACUCUGAAGCAUAGUGCCCUGUUUUGUCACACCUGUAGCAGACAACUUUCGAUUUUUCUCUCUGCUGAUAUCCAAAUCAUCCGCGGCCUCUACCUCUUCCAAAUCGUCCUCUACCUCUGCCUCAUCCUGAAGUUUCUUGAUCCUUUUGUGAGUCUGUGUUGGCGUACAUCAAUUUUCCCUGUUCUUCCUGCGGUUCUUCGUCAUCACAGAUUCUUUCCUCAUAGGCUUUGAGUCUUCCCAAAAUAUCUUCAAAGCUUGUUGUUUUUAAAUCGAGGACUUGCUCAAGUGCUGCAACGAUGUGUAUGUACCGCUUCCUUGGUAGACUCUUAAGGAACUUUUUCACAAUCUUUGUUUCCUCAAUAUUUUCUCCUAAGGUAGCCGACUUUGUAGAUAUCUCUGAUAGCUUUCCAACAAAAUCGUCUAUUGUGUCCGUAUCUUUCAUCUUCAGUUUAUCAAAUUCGGCCAUUAGGGUCUGUAAUCUUGCUUCUUUAACUCUGUCUGCUCCAAGAUGUCUAGUUUUUAUCGAUUCCCAAACGGCUUUUGCAGUUUUCAGCUCCCCGAUCUGUAGUACUAACGCAUCAGGCACGGACUGAAACAGAAGUCCUUGUGCUAAGUCGUUUUUCUCGGCAUCUUCUGAUCCUGGGUCGGUGGUGUCCCAUACUUUAUUUAUCAUGAGCAAUACUCUCAUCCGCAUUGCCCAGACUGUGUAAUUAGUGUUGUUGAGCAUCGGACACUGGAUGGUUGUAGAGGAGCUUCCCUCUUUUGUUUUGGUUGUCGCUGUGACGAGAUCUCCCAUGGUUGUAGGGUUUUGUUUGCUCUGAUACCAAAUAUAGAAUUUAGAACUUAGAUCAAGAAAUAAUAAAGCAACUUCUUUAUUAGCUUUAGAAAAUAACUCAAAACUAAAGCUUCUUAAUCUCUCUCUAAACUCUUAAGGAUUACCACAACUUUGGUAUCUCUUAUAUAGAGGAGAUAAAACACAUCCUAAUCCUAAUGGAUAAACACUUUAACAUUCUUAGAUAACUCCUAAGAACUUUCUAGAUAACUCCUAGAUAGAAACUUUCCUUUUCCUAAAUUCUUUAGGAAACUUGCUACUCAAGCUUUGAUCAAGCUUAUUCCAACAUUCGAGACCAGUUGAAGUUAAUCAUCAUGGGACGAUCCAGUUUCAGGGACUUUAAGAAUUUAAUAAAAAUAUUCAAUUUCGCAUAUAAAUAGGUUUUGGAGGCACAACCAAGAUCUUUGAAGCAGCCAAGAAAUCUCUCGAACUAGUUUAUCAAAGGUGGCUGCUGAAACAUAACAUCUAACAUGAAAAUUAACAUUAG
rnacentral:lncRNA from 1 species